rnacentral:lncRNA from 1 species
GAAUGUGGAUGUGAUGGUGGGAGCUGGAGCAGCCAUUUUGGACCACACAAUGGAAGUGUGAGGGUGUUGCUAUGUUGUCUGGGCUGGUCUUGAACUCCUGGCCUCAAGUGAUCCUCCCACCUUGCCUUCCCCAAAGUGCUGGAAUUGCAAGUGUGAGCCACUGUGCUCAGUGACAAAUGUCCUCAUAAGAGACAGAGAAGAAGACAUGGACACACAAAGGAGAAGAUCAUGUGAAGACAGAGGCAGAGACUGGACUGAUGCAGCCAGAAGCGGAGGAAUGCUUGGGGCUACCAGAAGCUGGAAGAGGCAAGGAAGGAGUCUCCCCUACAGUUUUUGGUGAGUGCGGUCCUGCCGACGCCUUGAUUUUGGACUUCCGGACUUCAGAACUGUAAAGGAAUACAUUUCUGUUGUGUUAAGCCACCUAGUUUGUGGCAGUUUGCAUGGCAGCAACAGGAUUUUUUAUUUCUUAUUUUUU